rnacentral:rRNA from 1 species
GACAGAGGGUGCAAACGUUGCUCGGAAUCACUGGGCGUAAGGCGUGUAGGCGGGAAUGUAAGUCGGGCGUGAAAUCCCUAGGCUCAACCUAGGAACUGCACUCGAAACUGCGUUUCUUGAGUAUCGGAGAGGAACGUGGAAGUUCCGGGUGUAGUGGUGAAAUGCGUAGAGAUCCGGAGGAACCCAGAGGCGAAGGCGGCGUUCUGGCUCGACAACUGACGCUCGAGACACGACAGCAUGGGGAGCGAACGGG